rnacentral:rRNA from 1 species
UCGACGGACUCAUAUUGAAACCUAGUGAUUUAUGAGUUAGUGGCGGACGGGUGAGUAACGCGUGGAAAACCUGCCGUAUACCGGGGGAUAACACUUAGAAAUAGGUGCUAAUACCGCAUAAGCGCACAGCUUCGCAUGAAGCAGUGUGAAAAACUCCGGUGGUAUACGAUGGUUCCGCGUCUGAUUAGCUAGUUGGCGGGGUAACGGCCCACCAAGGCAGCGAUCAGUAGCCGGCCUGAGAGGGUGAACGGCCACAUUGGGACUGAGACACGGCCCAAACUCCUACGGGAGGCAGCAGUGGGGAAUAUUGCACAAUGGGGGAAACCCUGAUGCAGCGACGCCGCGUGAGUGAAGAAGUAUUUCGGUACGUAAAGCUCUAUCAGCAGGGAAGAAAAUGACGGUACCUGACUAAGAAGCCCCGGCUAACUACGUGCCAGCAGCCGCGGUAAUACGUAGGGGGCAAGCGUUAUCCGGAUUUACUGGGUGUAAAGGGAGCGUAGACGGCAGCGCAAGUCUGGAGUGAAAUGCCGGGGCCCAACCCCGGAACUGCUUUGGAAACUGUGCAGCUUGAGUGCGGGAGAGGUAAGUGGAAUUCCUAGUGUAGCGGUGAAAUGCGUAGAUAUUAGGAGGAACACCAGUGGCGAAGGCGGCUUACUGGACCGUAACUGACGUUGAGGCUCGAAAGCGUGGGAAGCAAACAGGAUUAGAUACCCUGGUAGUCCACGCCGUANACGAUGAUUACUAGGUGUCGGGNGACCAAGGUCCUCCGGUGCCGGCGCAAACGCAUUAAGUAAUCCACCUGGGGAGUACGUUCGCAAGAAUGAAACUCAA